UCAUGUUCGCCUUGUGUCCAUCUUCUUAUACUUUAGCCUAAUAUAUUGUUCUUUAUUGUAGCCUAAUCUUUAUUGUACAUCAAGCACGUGGAUAUCUGGAUUCUCCCUCCAUUUGGGACUUGCUUCAAAUAACAUGGCUAAGUUGGUUGUUGUUCGGAACCUCUUAGAUUGGGAUUGGGAGGUGCGAGUGCUUCACGUCUACCGUGAAGCAAAUGCUUGCGCAGAUGCUCUGGCAAAGCGGGAAACUCACCAACAUCAUGUUUUGUCUGUUUACAGCUCCUGUCCCAGUUUUGUUUAUGUAUAUUAUAUAAGGGAUAUGGCAGGCCUCGGGACUAAUAGGCUAUGUGCCCAACGGCCAACUGUUGACGAUGUAUGAACUAGUUUGCAAUAAAUAUGUUGGGUGCACUGCACCAUGAGUCCAGCCCACAUGUUUUUUGUCAAGAGCUCAUUUAAUGAGCAUGUCUUUAAUGUUUCUUAUCUUUUCUUCAUCAUGUACAAAAGUCAGCAUUAGUAAUUGGAUUGGUUGGCUUAGGCGUGUCCAACAUGCUGAAGGAAGAAAGAAAAGAAAGAAGCAAAAGCAAGAGUUAUUCUGCUAUGGCAGAGCUGAAAGGAAAAAGGAAAGAAACAAGCAAGGCCAUUUGGCCAAUGAGAGCUAAAGAAAGAGAUUUUGGUUGAAGCAAAGUCAAAGUAAGUGGCUUGCACUUAUUGUGACUUGAUGUGAAGAGUGUGAAAGGAAGAAAAGAAGGAAAAGAUGAAGAAAUAAAUAGAGAGGCCAUUCGGCCAGUGCAGAGUGUGAAGAAAAGAAGUGAAGUCCCAAAGUGUGAGGACUAGUGCAGUCUUGAAGAGCUGCGUGAGUGAGAGCAAGCAAAAGAGAAGAAAAAUAGAGAGAGUAAGAGAAAAUACACAGUGAGAAAGAGAGCAGUGAAUGAAAAGAAAAAGAGAGUUUUUUUUUUUACUCAAGUUGUAUCUCUACAUGUUGCAAUCUCUAUUUAAUAUAGUGAAAUUAUUCGGAGUU